rnacentral:tRNA from 4 species
GCUGCUAUGGCUCAGCAGGUAGAGCACGUCCUUGGUAAGGACGAGGUCACCGGUUCAAGUCCGGUUAGCAGCUCCA